rnacentral:rRNA from 1 species
UACGUAGGGACCAAGCGUUGUUCGGAUUUACUGGGCGUAAAGGGCUCGUAGGCGGCCAACUAAGUCCGACGUGAAAUCCCCAGGCUUAACCUGGGAACUGCGUCGGAUACUGGAUGGCUUGAAUUCGGGAGAGGGAUGCAGAAUUCCAGGUGUAGCGGUGAAAUGCGUAGAUAUCUGGAGGAAUACCGGUGGCGAAGGCGGCAUCCUGGACCGACAUUGACGCUGAUGAGCGAAAGCUAGGGGAGCAAACGGG